CAAGCUGAGUUCAGCUGCCACCUCCUCCAGGAAGCCUUCCUGGGUUUCUCCAUGUCUUUAGAAGCCAUGCCUGUCUCACACAGCACUACCUACUCCAGUUUGUCAUCAUCAGCUUCUGUCAUGGGGCUUUAAACUCCUUCAGGGCUGUACUGAUCAGCUUCCAUGUACCCAGGACACAGGGCAAAGCCUGAUCCAAAGGAGGAACCCCAUGAGAAUUUGCUGGAAUUACAAAUGCUGGCUGGUGGGCUGGCGUGACUGGGCCCCUACCUGCAGUCCCCACCCGCGCCCCACCCUGCCCUGCUGACCUGCAGCUCUCCUUCUCUGAGGACUCCACAGUGAGGUAGUACAGGUCUCUGGAGAGGUGGUAGGGGUCCCACCGAGGUGGCCCCGGGGUGCUGGCCUUGACGGACCACAGCAGGCCAAUGAGCAGCAGCAGGCCACCUGCGCCGCAGCAGACGAAGCUGACGGACCUGAGCAGGGGGCUGGGGCCCUCGGGCACUGGAUACUCCGUGGGUGGGGCCAGCUGGCCAGGCUGGGCGCUUGCAUCCCCUUCGCUCCACCAAGCGAAGCAGAGCGUCCCAGCCACCAGAACCACUGUGCCGCUGACUGUCAUGCAAUAGCGGAGGGUGGAGGCCACGUGGCUCCCGUCUGGACACAUCUGGACACAGAGAAGGAGGGGGAAGAGGAAAUGGGCCAUAUGAAAGGUGCUGGAGGCCGGGUGUUAAUCCUCCUCUGCCUGAGGUCACUGUACAACCUUGGAGAAGUCACUUAACUCCUCUGGGCCUCAGUUUCCUCAUCUGUGAAGUGGAGAUGAUGCCCCUGACUUUGCCAGGCUAUUCUGAAGGUCAGAGGUAAACAAACAUGUAUCAGCACCAUGCCUGGGAAAUCGCAGGAGCUAAGUGUCACCACUUUCAUUCAAGGCCUCCCUCCAGGCCUCAGGGGCCCCAUCUGCCUGGUGGGUCUAAAACUUCCCACCCUGACUGCCACACAGGAAGCUGGGACAGAGAAAAGUAACGCGUGUUGGAACCUCCAGGCCUGCCAGGAUCAGGGCUUGCUGGUUAUGCACUGCCUGACUUCACCUGGUCACAAUCUUGUGAGAUGAACACUGUUACUGAAUAGAGGAAGAUACCCAGACCCAGAACAAGGGUGAAAGGGGGUAUUGAAGAGUCUGAGGCCGAAAUUCGCAACAUAGAACAAAACUUUAUGGAAAAACACGUUCACCGUGGCCUUAUUAAUAAUGGUCAUAAUUUGGAAAGUGCUAAAAUGUUCAAUUGUAAAGAAAUG
rnacentral:lncRNA from 1 species